rnacentral:rRNA from 1 species
AUUGGGUAGGGGAGCGUUCUGUAAGCCGUUGAAGGUGAAUCGUAAGGUUUGCUGGAGGUAUCAGAAGUGCGAAUGCUGACAUGAGUAACGACAAAGGGGGUGAAAAACCUCCUCGCCGGAAGACCAAGGGUUCCUGUCCAACGUUAAUCGGGGCAGGGUGAGUCGACCCCUAAGGUGAGGCCGAAAGGCGUAAUCGAUGGGAAACGGGUUAAUAUUCCCGUACUUCUGACUAUUGCGAUGGGGGGACGGAGAAGGCUAGGUGGGCCAGGCGACGGUUGUCCUGGUUCAAGUGCGUAGGCUUGAGAGUUAGGUAAAUCCGGCUCUCUUUAAGGCUGAGACACGACGUCGAGCUACUACGG